CCUCAGUAACGGCGAGUGAAGCGGCAACAGCUCAAAUUUGAAAUCUGGCCGUCCCGCGGUCCGAGUUGUAAUUUGUAGAGGAUGCUUCGGGUGCGGCGCCGGUCCAAGUUCCUUGGAACAGGACGUCAUAGAGGGUGAGAAUCCCGUACGUGACCGGUGACCCAGCCCGUGUGAAGCUCCUUCGACGAGUCGAGUUGUUUGGGAAUGCAGCUCUAAAUGGGUGGUAAAUUUCAUCUAAAGCUAAAUACCGGCCAGAGACCGAUAGCGCACAAGUAGAGUGAUCGAAAGAUGAAAAGCACUUUGGAAAGAGAGUUAAAAAGUACGUGAAAUUGUUGAAAGGGAAGCGCUUGCAACCAGACUUGCUCGUGGGUGAUCAGCCGUCCUUCUGGGCGGUGCACUCGCCCGCGAUCAGGCCAGCAUCGGUUUGGGCGGUUGGAUAAAGGCCCCGGGAAUGUGGCUCCCUCCGGGGAGUGUUAUAGCCCGGGGUGCAAUGCGGCCAGCCCGGACCGAGGACCGCGCUUCGGCUAGGAUGCUGGCGUAAUGGUUGUAAGCGACCCGUCUUGAAACACGGACCAAGGAGUCUAACAUCUAUGCGAGUGUUUGGGUGUCAAACCCAUGCGCGCAAUGAAAGUGAACGGAGGUGGGAACCCUCAAGGGCGCACCAUCGACCGAUCCUGAUGUCUUCGGAUGGAUUUGAGUAAGAGCAUAGCUGUUGGGACCCGAAAGAUGGUGAACUAUGCCUGAAUAGGGUGAAGCCAGAGGAAACUCUGGUGGAGGCUCGCAGCGGUUCUGACGUGCAAAUCGAUCGUCAAAUUUGGGUAUAGGGGCGAAAG
rnacentral:rRNA from 1 species